UUCCCGUGAAGAGGCGGGAAUGCACAAAUAAGACGAGAAGACCCUAUGGAGCUUUAACUAACCAACCCAAAGAGAAUAAAUUUAACCAUUAAGGAGUAACAACAAUCUCCAUGAGUUGGUAGUUUCGGUUGGGGUGACCUCGGAGAAUAAAAAACCCUCCGAGCGAUUUUAAAGACUAGACCCACAAGUCAAAUCACUCUAUCGCUCAUUGAUCCAAAAACUUGAUCAACGGAACAAGUUACCCUA
rnacentral:rRNA from 1 species